AAAAGAGCCUGAGGAAGGAGAAGACGACAGANACAGCGCCAAUGGGGAGGAUGACUCUUAAGCACAUAGUGGAGCUUAGAAAUCUUAUCCCAUUAUUCAUUUACCUAGGCGUUUGUGGGAGAUACAGUAACACCAGGUCAUCUCCCCUGGGGUCNUCUGCACAUUCUCACUGUUGUCCCGCCUUACCCUCCCUGUGUUCAUUAAUUCAUGANUGCCCUGCGCCUAAGUUACAGUUCCACUUCCUUUGAUGCUCCGUAGUACUUUCGUUANGUCUCACCCUGUAAGUUUUGCUUUAAUUUUGAUACCUCUUU
rnacentral:misc_RNA from 1 species